rfam:Camelus ferus unplaced genomic scaffold scaffold1427, whole genome shotgun sequence.
GAGGGUAUAGCUCAGUGGUAGAGUGAGUGCCUAGCAAGCACGAGGUCCUGGGUUCAAUCCCCAGUACCACCA